GACGAACGCUGGCGGCGUGCUUAACACAUGCAAGUCGAACGGAAAGGCCCUGCUUUUGUGGGGUGCUCGAGUGGCGAACGGGUGGGUAACACGUGAGUAACCUGCCCUUGACUUUGGGAUAACUUCAGGAAACUGGGGCUAAUACCGGAUAGGAGCUCCUGCUGCAUGGUGGGGGUUGGAAAGUUUCGGCGGUUGGGGAUGGACUCGCGGCUUAUCAGCUUGUUGGUGGGGUAGUGGCUUACCAAGGCUUUGACGGGUAGCCGGCCUGAGAGGGUGACCGGCCACAUUGGGACUGAGAUACGGCCCAGACUCCUACGGGAGGCAGCAGUGGGGAAUAUUGCACAAUGGGCGGAAGCCUGAUGCAGCAACGCCGCGUGCGGGAUAACGGCCUUCGGGUUGUAAACCGCUUUCGCCUGUGACGAAGCGUGAGUGACGGUAAUGGGUAAAGAAGCACCGGCUAACUACGUG
rnacentral:rRNA from 1 species